UCCAGGGCUGGGUGGUAAGUGGUUAGUGGUAAGUCUAAUCUCUUUGUGAGCCCUAUUGCUGCCUGAUUUUAGAAACCAUGUAAAGCCAAUUAAUACCUGUAAAGCUAGAUUUGUUGUGAUUUUGUUUUAGCAAUACCAAUUACAUUUAGUUACUGUACCAACCUUAUGCUGUACCUGCUGUCCUUCACCUUCCUUUAUAAAUAAGGAAAUGAGAAUUGUUGGGUGAUGAGCCUCCACGGGAAACCCACACCCUCUGUUCCUGAGUCAGUUACAGAGAGAGAGAGGGAGAGGGAGAAGAAGAGGGGGAGAGAGAGAGAGAGAGAGAGAGAGAGAGAGAGAGAGAGGACUUCCAUCCGCUGGUUCACUCCCCAGAUGGCCGCAAUGGCCUGAGCUGCGCUGAUCCGGAGCUAGGAGCUUCUUCCGGGUCUCCCACACAGGUGCAGGGUCCAAGGACUUGGCCCAUCUUCUACUGCUUUCCCAGGCUAUAGCAGAGAGCUGGAUCGGAAGUGGAGCAGCCGGGACUAAUGUCCAUAUGGGAUGCCUGCACUGCAGGAGGCUGCUUUACCCACUACACCACAGCACCGGUCCCCUGUGUAUGCUUUUAAAUAAAGAAUGGCUGGGACUCUUAGGCUGUUUUUCUGUUGAUACAAGAAAAUACCAAAACUGGGUACAUUAUAAAAGAGAAAAAUUAUUUCCUUACAGUUCUGGAGGCCUAAGGGUAUGGAGCCAGCACCUGCCGGAAUUCUGCUGAAAGCCUCCUGGUGCUUCAAUGCAUGAUUGAAAAGGGGAAAGCAGGUGCAGGCUCUUCCCUCAGUGAGAGUCCAGCGUUGGGGGAGAGACCGCUUAACAACAGCCCACUCUCAGGGGACCCAAUGCAGCUUUAAGAGAGUGAGAGCUGAGGCUUUUGAGAAAAGCAUUAAUCCUUCCGGAAAGUUCCAACACCUCUCAGCACGGAGGCACGAGACACCAAGCUUCAGCAUGGAUUUUGUGUGGACAAUCCAUAUUCAAACCAUAAGCAGGAACUUAGUGUCCUGAAGUUCCAUCUAAGCCUCAAAGGAAAAAUGAUUGAGAUCCAUCUUCUCCAGCUGGGAUAGAAGCUGCAUGAGGGUGACCUUGUCCAAGGAGAUAGACACUGAAGAUGGCUCCUGAGCAGCCAGAGGAAGAGCCAACUGCUGGCCUAGAGGACAGGGAGAGAGAAGCCGCCCCUUCCUAGAGCAACCUAGGACUCUGUCCUUGCUUCCUCUGUGCUGACGGUGUCCCUGGUCAGUGCGGAGCUGCUGCGGAAGGGGAGUGCAAGAGGGAAAAAGGAGAGGCCUGGACAAAAUGACUGACGGCAGCCACUCACUCUUCACCCAGCAAAGCUUGUUUUCCUGCCCGGGCCCACGGCCAGUCUGCAUUCCCAUUUCCCUGGCAGGCAGGUGGGGCACAGGCUGAACUCUGGCCCAAAGAAGAUGAAAAGUGCUGUGUGCCACUUCCAGGCUGGCUCACGGAAACCUCCAUCACAGAGGCCUUUUCUUUGCUCCUUCUGUCUGCUGGCCCUGUGUGGAAGCCCCAGCAGACAUGCGUGAGAUCUAAGAUGCCCAAGGGACUCAUGGGACACUGUAUAAUGGAGUAGUGAAACUUCACUCUGUUUAACCACUGACUUUUAAAGGUCUGGACAAUACAACAGCAAGCAUUACUUGCCAUGUCUUCAUCUAAGGUUUGCGUAUUGAAGCAGAUUUAAACUCAAAAAUUGCUGUCUGUGGACACACAGAACCUCUACCAACCCAUGAGGGCCAGGCCUUAAUUCCACAUUGGCUAUCCUGGAUGCUAGGAGUAACAAGUAUUAUCUCCCAGCAAACCUCUACACCUUUGGCACAUCAGCUGGCUCCAGUGAGACCCUCAGAGUCUCACCUCAGGACUUCAUUCAUUGGCUCAUUGCAAUCCCUACUCCUAAGUAGUUCUCACCUCCCUAUCCUUGCAGUAUUGUGGUUUUUCCUCUGUGACUCCCUGUAGUAGAUCGACUGCUUUGCUUAUUAUGUUUUUCUCUCUUAGUCUUCUCGAAUUGUAGCUCUCUGAAGGCUAGGGUUUUGUUAUUUUGCUCAAAUACAUGUACGUAGGUAGACUCAUAGUUGAUACUCAGUAGCCAUUUAAAAAAUUUCUUGAACGAAUCAAUCAAUGCCAUCAUUUUUGGAUACCUACUGCACACUGAGCUCACUAAUAGGCCCUAAAGAUACUGUGGUGAACAAAUCAGCUCAGAACCUUCCGAAGGUGACAAGAAGAUGAAUGAUGACAAUUAAAUGGAAACUGUAUCAUGAUUACAGAGUAGUUGAGAGGGUUUGUCUGAGAUACUCCCAGGGAAGAUGAUAACCCACUAGAUGUCUGCAAUUCUCCAGAAAAGGAGCGGGGGACUCAAAGAAGGAAUUCCAGCAUAUGGAGAAAGCAGAAAACCAAGAAAAGCCCAAAUGUGCAAAUCUGGCGACAGAAUACUGUCUGACAGAGAGAAGAGCCGAAGAUAGCCUUGUGAAGCCACGUCUCAGGUGUUUGGAGUGUCCUAAGACAAGAUAAAGCUGUUUCCAGCCAGUCUGUGAGGUAGGAAAUCAGAUAUGAGCUUAUGUGUGUGUGACAAAGGCCUAAGGAGACAUUUAGGCCCAGCAUAUGCAUCUCAAAGUCAUCCCAAUAACGUUUCAGGGGCAGCCUAGUAUUUGCAUCCUGCCCUGCCCCUUUCUUCCCAAUAACCUGUCAGGUCGGGGUCCCUGCCCCUUCUGCCUGAUAUCUGCAUUUCAGAUAUCAUCCUGAUCCUCCAGGGGGUUUUGCUCAACCUUCCUCUAACCCAGGGCAGCUCCAGCCAGUUUCCCCCUGUCUGAUAACUUUGGAGAGGGGGGACUCAGAUAGGAAUUUUUCUAUUUACAUCCAAGAAGUCCUUUGUUCUAAGAGGAGCAGAGGUGGGAAGGCAAGACCCAUCCCCUUAAAAACCCCUGGCCUCAACCAGACUGCGAGCUCAAUCUACUGCCUUUAUGCUGAGUCCCCCACCUGGCCUGGCCAGGUGUGCUCUUUAUGUGACCCCGCUCUCCCCCAGCCUGAGUGACUGGGCACUCUCUCUCAGGUUCUGUCUGGAGAGGUGCCCAUCCAUUCUUAAGGAUGUCCUUUCCCUAAUAAACCUUGCUAUUUUACUUUU